rnacentral:rRNA from 1 species
AGGGUUUGAUCAUGGCUCAGAACGUACGCUGGCGGCACGCCUAACACAUGCAAGUCGAACGAAGUAGCAAUACUUAGUGGCAGACGGGUGAGUAACAUGUAGGUAUCUGCCCUUUGGCCUGGAAUAACACGAGGAAACUUGUGCUAAUACCGGAUAAGUCUUUACGGAGAAAGCUUUAUGCACCAUUGGAUGAGCCUGCACUUGAUUAGUUUGUUGGUGGGGUAAUGGCCUACCAAGACUGUGAUCAAUAGCUGAUUUGAGAGGAUGAUCAGCCACAUUGGGACUGAGACACGGCCCAAACUCCUACGGGAGGCAGCAGUGGGGAAUCUUGCACAAUGGAGGAAACUCUGAUGCAGCGAUGCCGCGUGAGUGAAGAAGGCCCUUGGGUUGUAAAGCUCUUUCGUCGGGGAAGAAAAUGACUGUGCCCGAAUAAGAAGGUCCGGCUAACUUCGUGCCAGCAGCCGCGGUAAUACGAAGGGACCUAGCGUAGUUCGGAAUUACUGGGCUUAAAGAGUUCGUAGGUGGUUGAAAAAGUUAGUGGUGAAAUCCCAGAGCUUAACUCUGGAACUGCCAUUAAAACUUUUCAGCUAGAGUAUGAUAGAGGAAAGCAGAAUUUCUAGUGUAGAGGUGAAAUUCGUAGAUAUUAGAAAGAAUACCAAUUGCGAAGGCAGCUUUCUGGAUCAUUACUGACACUGAGGAACGAAAGCAUGGGUAGCGAAGAGGAUUAGAUACCCUCGUAGUCCAUGCCGUAAACGAUGUGUGUUAGACGUUGGAAAUUUAUUUUCAGUGUCGCAGGAAACCGAUAAACACACCGCCUGGGGAGUACGACCGCAAGGUUAAAACUCAAAUGAAUUGACGGGGACCCGCACAAGUAGUGGAGCAUGUGGUUUAAUUCGAAGAUACGCGCAGAACCUUA